CUCAGAUUGAACGCUGGCGGCAUGCUUUACACAUGCAAGUCGAACGGCAGCGGGGGCUUCGGCCUGCCGGCGAGUGGCGAACGGGUGAGUAAUGCAUCGGAACGUGCCCAUGUCGUGGGGGAUAACGUAGCGAAAGCUACGCUAAUACCGCAUACGCCCUGAGGGGAAAGCGGGGGAUUCUUCGGAACCUCGCGCGAUUGGAGCGGCCGAUGUCGGAUUAGCUAGUAGGUGAGGUAAAGGCUCACCUAGGCGACGAUCCGUAGCGGGUCUGAGAGGAUGAUCCGCCACACUGGGACUGAGACACGGCCCAGACUCCUACGGGAGGCAGCAGUGGGGAAUUUUGGACAAUGGGCGCAAGCCUGAUCCAGCCAUGCCGCGUGAGUGAAGAAGGCCUUCGGGUUGUAAAGCUCUUUCGGCCGGGAAGAAAUCGUGGUCUCUAACAUAGGCCAUGGAUGACGGUACCGGACUAAGAAGCACCGGCUAACUACGUGCCA
rnacentral:rRNA from 1 species